UACGUAGGGGGCGAGCGUUGUCCGGAUUUAUUGGGCGUAAAGAGCUCGUAGGUGGUUCGGUAAGUCGGGUGUGAAAACUCUGGGCUCAACCCAGAGACGCCACCCGAUACUGCUGUGACUUGAGUCUGGUAGGGGAGUGUGGAAUUCCCAGUGUAGCGGUGAAAUGCGCAGAUAUCAGGAGGAAUACCCGUGGCGAAAGCGGCCCUCUGGGACGGUACCGACGCUGAGACGCGAAAGCGUGGGGAGCAAACAGG
rnacentral:rRNA from 1 species